CACGUAGGGUGCAAGCGUUGUCCGGAAUUAUUGGGCGUAAAGAGCUCGUAGGCGGUCUGUCGCGUCUGCUGUGAAAACUCGGGGCUUAACCCCGGGCCUGCAGUGGGUACGGGCAGACUAGAGUGCGGUAGGGGAGACUGGAAUUCCUGGUGUAGCGGUGAAAUGCGCAGAUAUCAGGAGGAACACCGGUGGCGAAGGCGGGUCUCUGGGCCGUAACUGACGCUGAGGAGCGAAAGCAUGGGGAGCGAACAGG
rnacentral:rRNA from 1 species